rnacentral:piRNA from 1 species
CCCAAAUGAUGUGACAGACUGAUG